GACGAACGCUGGCGGCGUGCUUAACACAUGCAAGUCGAGCGGAAAGGCCCUUCGGGGUACUCGAGCGGCGAACGGGUGAGUAACAUGUGAGUAAUCUGCCCUUGGCUUUGGGAUAACUACCGGAAACGGUGGCUAAUACCGGAUACGACAACCGUCUGCAUGGGCUGGUUGUGGAAAGUUUUUUCGGCCAGGGAUGUGCUCGCGGCCUAUCAGCUUGUUGGUGGGGUAAUGGCCUACCAAGGCUUCGACGGGUAGCCGGCCUGAGAGGGUGACCGGCCACACUGGGACUGAGACACGGCCCAGACUCCUACGGGAGGCAGCAGUGGGGAAUAUUGGACAAUGGGCGGAAGCCUGAUCCAGCAACGCCGCGUGAGGGAUGACGGCCUUCGGGUUGUAAACCUCUUUCAGUACCGACGAAGCGCCGAUGAUGGUGGUGACGGUAGGUACAGAAGAAGCACCGGCCAACUACGUG
rnacentral:rRNA from 1 species